AAAAAGCCAGAGUAGCUAUAUUAAUUUAAGAAAAAGCAAACUUCUGAACCAGAAAAAUUAGCAGAAAUAAAGAGGGGUAUUGCAUAAUGAUAAAGGGACUAACUUUCCAAGAACUAUGGGAAAUAGUUCUAAAUAUGUAUGCAUCUAACAACAGAGAAUCUAAAUAUGUAAAGCAAAAACUGACAGAUUGGUGAGGUGUAACAGAAAAAUUUGUUAUUAUAGCUGGAGAUUUCAUAACUCCUUUUUCAGUAACUGAUAGCUUAAGCAGUCAGAAAAACAGUAAGUAUAUAGUUAACCUGAACAGUGCUAUCAUACAACUUUAUCAAAUUGACAUGUAUAGACUGUUCCAUCUAACAACAAAAUACACAUUCUUCUCAAGCUUUCAUGGAACCUUCACCCAGUAGACCCAAUCUAGGCAUAAAGCACACAAUUAAAGUAUUUUAAAAGUAGAAAUGAGACCAAAUUCUCAGAAAAUGAAAUUAAUCUAUAAAUUAAUACCACAAAUUAUCAUUAUCAGGGAAUUGCAAGUUAAAACAAUAGUAACUUAUUACUAUAUAUCUAUUAUUAAUAGAAUGGCAAACAUCCAAAAAACUGAUAAAGCCAAAUAUGGUAGAGGACACAAGGCAAAAGGAAGUACUCAUUGCUGCUAGGAAUGCAAAAUGGCAUAGCCAUUUUGAAAGACAGUUUGGCAUUUUCUCAUAAAGCAAAUCAUUAUUGUAAUAUACAAUCUAAUGUCUCACUCCUUGGUAUUUACCUGACUAGAAAACAUAUGCUCACAAAGAAACCUGUAUAUAAAUAUGUAUAGAAACAUUCAUGUGCCCCAAACUGGAAACAACCAAAAUAUCUUUAAUAGAUGAAUGAACAAACUGAAAUACCCAUAGAAUGUAAUAGCAUUCAGUAAUUUAAAAAAAUAAGCUAUCCUUCCCCAAAAUGCCACAUGGAGGAAACGUAAAUGCAUAUUGCUAAGUAAAAGAAGCCAAUUUGAAAAGACUGCAUGUUCCGUGAUUUCAGUUAUUUGGCAAUCUUGAAAAGGCAAAAUUUCAGUUUGCUGAGGAUAAUGUCUUCCAGCUCCAUCCAAGUCCCUGCAGUUACAAGAUCAGUGGUUUUCUCAGUUCAGCAGUGCAUGGUCUAGUUUUGAAUAGGUGAAGCACAAGAGAUUUUAUAGAGUGAUAAAACUACCAAUACUUUUGUCAAAAUCCACAGAAAUUUAUAGUAUAGGAAGUGAAACUUUAUAUGUGCAGCAUAAAAUAAAUUAUUUAGAAGGCUCAGGGAUCCUAGGAUUAAAUGCAGAAAGUGACAAAAGAAUCUAACGGUAUUACAAGUGUAAUCAACAACCUCACUGAGAUAAACAUUAGUGAAGUUGGAGAAACAAUAUCCCUGGGGGUAGUUGGAGAAUAGGUGCUGACCUAAAUAACUUUGAAAAUGAGUGAAACCUGUAAGAGUAAAGGCAAAUGAAACUGUGCAUAAGCACUGUACUCUAGUUGAUAAAUUGUUUUCCAUAGGGAUAGAUGUUAACAAUUUUGAUACCAGUAUAUAAAUGUAUCCUAGAAUUGAACAUUUCAGUAAAUGGGUUCUAGGUGGUAGGAGCUAAACCUAGCUCCUACAGUUUACCAAUAAGCAAAGGAAGCAGGCUAGAAUGAACUGUGUUAGAAUAAGAAUUGGAGCAUUCAGUAUGAACUCAUGUUUAGCUUAAUAGAGAUACAGUUGUUAUAGAAAUAUGUAUAUGUAUAUAUGUAUAUGCAUGUAUGUGCCACUUAUACACCAAAUGCUCAGAUCUUGGUUUAUAAUACUAUUCUCCAAUGAAAGGACCAGUGAUUCUUCCGGAAAUAGCAAAUUCAUGUACUAUUCAUGUACAGGAAAUAUAUUAAUACAAGAUGAGUCUGGAACAUCUAGUAGGGACAGAAAGAAAGAAGAAAGAGGGAGGAGGAGGAAGAAAGAAGAGAAGGAAGAAGGAAGGAGAAGGAAGAAGCAAGAACAAGGAGAAAGGACCAGGACGAGGAGGAGGAGGAGAAGAAACAUAAUUUUGGGGGUACGUAAAAAAGACAUUUAAGUCAACGGAAUGAGCUCUCCAUGGCAAAAUCUGGAAUGGUUUGAGCAACAAAAUAAAGUGGUAUUGAAAUAUAGCCCAGAAUAUAAGAAAAUUCAUACCUUAUACUAAUAUAAAUAAAUGAUAGUAUAAAUAAAUAAAUAACGGGUAAAAGUAGGUACAUCUACGUAGAGUAAUUGCACACAGGGCUUUAUAUCUGUGUUCACAGAAUUUUCUCUUCUAUAAGUCUGUGAAUGUCUGUAGAACAGGAACAGUGUUUUAUUGAUCAGAGAUCAAUUGUGUGACAUGGGCUGAACAAAUACCUGGCAAUUAGUAGGUGCCCAGAAAAUAUUGGUUCAGCCCAAGUCACACAAUUUAUACUUGAGAUUUUUUUUUGUUAGUUUUUACCUAAUGUCCUUUCUAAUGUUCACAUUGAAAUUAAGGAAAAUAACUAUUUAUCUUCUUAAAAUAGCCUGAAAUGCUUUAGCUUUUCUCAGAGUUAAUAUUUUUUCUAAUCAUAAAUACCAUCAUCUCCACAGACUCCAUGGAAAGGUAUCAAAAGUAGAGAGCAUCCUGCUAGAUUGUAACACGUGACUUAAGCUCCUGUGCAUUUGUUUUUAAUCUUCAUCUUUUUUUCCUCCAGCUCUGUUAGUAUUGUAUUGAUCAAGUUUCCCAAACAUGCGAUCUGAGGGCUGUGUUUGAUUACAUUUGAGUUUCUAGGCACAUGAACAUGGUGGCUAUUUGGAAAGACUGACUUUGCAGGGGAAAAAGAGCACUGGUCUAUGAGUCUGGAAUUAAAAUUCUCUUCCUGACUUUGUUCCUAAGCUAGCCUCGGAACCUCGGUGAGUUGCUGCACCUGUCACAGUCUGGGUUUCCUCAUUUGCAGGGACAAUAAGGGCCAAAAGAUCUUUGAGUUUCCUUCUUCCUUUACAGUUGAUGGUACAAUGUGGGCUCAUUUCUGCAAUCCAGCUGAGUUCUCAAACUGGUAAGUUUGUGAAUAAGACUGCAGUUUCGAAUUUGGGCUUCUCAAUCCAGGGAAAGAAGUCUCUCUUGGUUUGGGUAGGGUGAGAGGCAUGAAAUUUUCUCUAGAGAGAGUUUUCCCUUUGAUUUUAGAACGUUGGGUGGUAUGUCUUGCCCAUCAAAAUGGAGAGAAUAGGAUGAAUGAUAAUUUGUUAGUUGGAACAGCUUCCCACAAGAAAUGAAAGAGAAGUAAAAGGCAGAAUAAAUGACUAACCUUUGCCUUGCCCAGCAGAAAAGCUGGUGAAAUUUAGAAAUAUAGUCAUGUUUCUAUUCACUCAGGCUCUCUACCUGAACCAACAACCAUUCGUGAAACUUUCCACAUUAAACUUUCAGUUCCAGUAAAGUUCAUAGCAGUCUUUAAAACUGCACCCGGAGGUGACAACAUAACAUUCCUUUGGGUCUGAUGCAUAGAGGCUUAGAGUGUGAGGGCUGAAAAGGGUUUUUGAGGGCAAAGGGACAUAUAAGUGUGUUUUACCAUGUGCAUAAUACUUAACUUACAUGAAUGAUCCUGGCUGGAUGCUUUUUAUGUAUUAUUUCUAAUCCUUCUCAGAAUCCAGCAAAACAGGUGGUUCACAAAGGAGAAAACUGAGGCUCAAGCAAGGUAAAUAACUUACCCGGUUUUACUCAACUCCAAGAGGCUGGUUUGAGUUUUUAACCCAAGUCUGUCUGACUCCCCUUCCUCAACUGUGUUCUCACAUUAUUAACUCCUAGUCUUGCUUCAAUCCUGCCUCUGGGAAGCCUUCCUUGACCCUCCCAGAGAAUAUAAAUUACAGGAAUUCCCCUUUCUGUAAUUGCUUUGUGGUGUGGUUCACACAGGGUUUUAUAUCUGUGUUCACUUAAUUUUCUCUUCUGUAAGUCUGUGAAUGUCUGUUGAACAUGGACAGUGUUUUAUUGGUCUCUGAAUCCUAGUACCUGGCAAUUGGUAGGUGCCCAGAAAACAUUUGUUCAGCCCAAGUCACACAAUUCAUUGGACACAGAGCCAGAACUAAAUCCAGACCUCUUGACUCCUGGUCCAGAAUUCUUUCACCACCACAUUAUUACUUUUAGAUUUUUAAUCGCAUCCAACUUCCAGCUUAUUCUCCCCAUAAAACCUCCUUGUUCCCUCACCCCAAACCCUGCACAUGAUUCCUGUGAGCAGUGGAAAUGUUUUCAUCACAAUUUUGAAGGCUUGAACUUACUGUGGACUUACUGUGGACCCAGCGCAGACUCACUAUGUGACUCCUCUUUUCUCCUGACAGUGCUCCCAGGUGAAUGCUGCUAUCGAUCCCAUUUUACAAUGUAGAAACUGAGGAAUUGAGAUAGUAACUGCAUCAAGAUCUCACAACUGGGGUAAAAAUCCAUGCAAUAUGGCCCUAGAUGAACAUAAUCUGAAAGACUGGGCUCCACGUCUAAAGGUUGGGACAGAGAGCGAGUCUCCUUGCUCAGGUUUUAUCUCUUGUUAGAUGCCAAAUAUAAUUUCUUUUAUGAAAUAGCUGAGAUGUCUUGAUCCUUAAGGAACAUAAGUAACACCAGGUUCCAAGGGUAAUUUAAUUGCAGUCACCCACUCCUUUUAAUCCCUGCAAACUUUUACCCAGAGCUUUGAAACAGGUUGCCGAGCACUUCCCAUAUUGAAUCUGUGCAUACUCUGGUUUCUUACAAGGUCAUGUGAAGGAUAAGAUUCAGAGCAUUCCAGGGAGAUUAUGCUCCAACUGCAAAAACCUGAAAAAGCAAUUGAUAAAGGCUUAGCUGCAUUACUCUGAAGACUUUGGUAUUGUGGGGUAAUCAUACAUAGCAACCCUCACAAGGUUCUGAGGCUUAUCUCAUUUUAUGUGCUCUUUUUUCCUUGGAGAGUCUAAAUCUCUCCUGUAGAUUAAAAUGUAAUGACACAAUGACUUGAGACAGAAAAGCAUCGAAAAUCAUACUUUGAGGUAUUAUAGGAUAUAUGUAACGUUAUGCACAAAUAUGAAAGAGGAUUUGAAUUCAGCAAACAACUCCAGGUGCAUCAUAUGUUUCUAUUUGUAUAAAAUUUUAAAUUUUUAAACAAUAAGACCGCAGUGGGGCAGGGUGAGGAAGGGUCCAUGGAGCCUCUCCAGGCUCUUCCUCCUUCAUGGGAGAAGCUUCCCUCAAAGGAGGAGCUGCAAAAGAUGAAAGGGAAGAGGCCAGGAGAGCUCACACCAGCUCUCCAAGCAAUUGAGCCUCCCUGGAGCUGUAAAGCAGGAAACUCAGCUUCUGGGUGCGGCCCUGAUCCUUUAAAAGCCCAGAUGCCAACUCCAUAGGGGCAGACCCAUCUCUCAGCUGAUUGAGGAAUGUCAUCCAGUGCUAGGUCAUAUUUACUUGUUUAUUUUCUCUCUCACCUCUAAUCUCCAUAAAGCAAGUUUCAUGAAGCAAGGAACAGAUCUCUCUAGUUCAAUGCUGUAUUCCUAGUUUUGGAACAAUGCCAGGCUGGAAAGGAAGAACAGGAGAGUUGGUGGAGAGAGAGAUUGGAUAUUAGAAGAACCCACGUAACUCAGAGACAAUGCACACCAGGCAACGGAAGAAAGCAGCCUAAAUGGAAUGAGGCUGAGUGAGCAACAGGCCAUCUGCUGUUGCAGCCGCUUUUCCUCCCACACAUGGGAACAGCACCACUUCUCUUUGGAAAAAACACCUUUCUUCUGGUUUCAGUUCCCAGAAGUGCACUUGUCUACCCAUGUGUUCUCAAUUUCAUUUCAUUUCAUAACAUGCAAUCACAGGACACACAUUU